rnacentral:rRNA from 1 species
CCUACGGGAGGCAGCAGUGGGGAAUAUUGGACAAUGGGGGGAACCCUGAUCCAGCCAUGCCGCGUGUGUGAAGAAGGCCCUCGGGUUGUAAAGCACUUUCAGUGAGGAAGAACGCCUGGUGGUUAAUACCCAUCAGGAAAGACAUCACUCACAGAAGAAGCACCGGCUAACUCCGUGCCAGCAGCCGCGGUAAUACGGAGGGUGCGAGCGUUAAUCGGAAUUACUGGGCGUAAAGCGCGCGUAGGUGGCUUGAUAAGCCGGUUGUGAAAGCCCCGGGCUCAACCUGGGAACGGCAUCCGGAACUGUCAAGCUAGAGUGCAGGAGAGGAAGGUAGAAUUCCCGGUGUAGCGGUGAAAUGCGUAGAGAUCGGGAGGAAUACCAGUGGCGAAGGCGGCCUUCUGGACUGACACUGACACUGAGGUGCGAAAGCGUGGGUAGCAAACAGGAUUAGAUACCCGUGUAGUC